rnacentral:rRNA from 1 species
AGUGAACGCUGGCGGUAGGCCUAACACAUGCAAGUCGAACGGCAGCACAGUAAGAGCUUGCUCUUACGGGUGGCGAGUGGCGGACGGGUGAGGAAUACAUCGGAAUCUACUUUUUCGUGGGGGAUAACGUAGGGAAACUUACGCUAAUACCGCAUACGACCUACGGGUUAAAGCAGGGGAUCUUCGGACCUUGCGCGAUUGAAUUAGCCGAUGUCGGAUUAGCUAGUUGGCGGGGUAAAGGCCCACCAAGGCGACGAUCCGUAGCUGGUCUGAGAGGAUGAUCAGCUACACUGGAACUGAGACACGGUCCAGACUCCUACGGGAGGCAGCAGUGGGGAAUAUUGGACAAUGGGCGCAAGCCUGAUCCAGCCAUACCGCGUGGGUGAAGAAGGCCUUCGGGUUGUAAAGCCCUUUUGUUGGGAAAGAAAAGCAGCAGGUUAAUACCCCGCUGUUCUGACGGUACCCAAAGAAUAAGCACCGGCUAACUUCGUG